rnacentral:rRNA from 1 species
AGAGUUUGAUCCUGGCUCAGAACGAACGCUGGCGGCAGGCUUAACACAUGCAAGUCGAGCGCCUCGCAAGAGGAGCGGCAGACGGGUGAGUAACGCGUGGGAAUCUACCUAUCUCUAGGGAAUAACUCAGGGAAACUUGUGCUAAUACCCUAUACGCCCUUCGGGGGAAAGAUUUAUCGGGGAUAGAUGAGCCCGCGUUGGAUUAGCUAGUUGGUGAGGUAAUGGCUCACCAAGGCGACGAUCCAUAGCUGGUCUGAGAGGAUGAUCAGCCACACUGGGACUGAGACACGGCCCAGACUCCUACGGGAGGCAGCAGUGGGGAAUAUUGGACAAUGGGCGCAAGCCUGAUCCAGCCAUGCCGCGUGAGUGAUGAAGGCCCUAGGGUUGUAAAGCUCUUUCACCGAUGAAGAUAAUGACGGUAGUCGGAGAAGAAGCCCCGGCUAACUUCGUG